UGGGGAAUAUUGCACAAUGGGCGCAAGCCUGAUGCAGCCAUGCCGCGUGUAUGAAGAAGGCCUUCGGGUUGUAAAGUACUUUCAGCGGGGAGGAAGGCGAUAAGGUUAAUAACCUUGUCGAUUGACGUUACCCGCAGAAGAAGCACCGGCUAACUCCGUGCCAGCAGCCGCGGUAAUACGGAGGGUGCAAGCGUUAAUCGGAAUUACUGGGCGUAAAGCGCACGCAGGCGGUCUGUCAAGUCGGAUGUGUAAUCCCCGGGCUCAACCUGGGAACUGCAUUCGAAACUGGCAGGCUAGAGUCUUGUAGAGGGGGGUAGAAUUCCAGGUGUAGCGGUGAAAUGCGUAGAGAUCUGGAGGAAUACCGGUGGCGAAGGCGGCCCCCUGGACAAAGACUGACGCUCAGGUGCGAAAGCGUGGGGAGCAAACA
rnacentral:rRNA from 1 species